rnacentral:lncRNA from 1 species
UUUUUUUUUUUUAACUGUGCCUGCGGCAUGCAGAAGUUCCCAGAGCCAAGGACUUAACCCAUGCCACAGCAAUAACCAGAGCCAAAGCAGUGACAAUGCUGGAUCCUUAGCCCACUAGGCCAACAGGGAACUCUUAAAGAACUAUCCCUAUUUAAAUCUUGAACCAUAGUACUGAGAUGCUGAAGCUGGCUUGCGGUAUCUCUUUGCAACUAUAUUCUCAGUGACUUCAUAUUGGUAGCUUGAAGUCAGCCAUGACAGUGCAUUUAUGCCAUGGAAAUCAGACUGUGCUACAAACCAGGGCUCUUUUUUCCCCAAAGAGCCAGUUGUUAAACGCUUAACAGCAUACUAUUAGAGCUAAAUAUGCAUCAAAAAGGGGCUGGUGGAAUAAAUUACAGCACUGCUAUAAAAUGGACUUCCAAAACACCUUGAAAAGUAAUGUAAACAUAUAUAUUUAUUAAUGAGGAAAGUUGUACACAGUAUUCUUAACUUACAAUUAUACAUGGUUUAAAAACUAUAUACACGUGUGUGUUUUUAUAUGUGAUCCCAUUUUAGUAAGAUACACACCCAGACACACACACCACAGCCCGUACACACAGACACAUAGAAACAAUCUGGAAAUACAUAUACCGAAACAGUAAAAAUACAUGAUCACUGGCUGGUGGGGGUAUAGGUAAAUUAUAGUUUUCUCAUCUAGUUUUCCAAAGUAUCCAAAGUUUUUGGAACGAAUGGCUAUGACUGCAAAACAGGCAAGGACCACAAUAAGCGAAAUGAGCAAGUUCCUGUCAUGGUUCAGCAGAAACGAAUCCAACUAGUAUGUAUGAGGAUGCGGGUUCGAUCCCUGGCCUCACUUAGUGGUUUGGCACUGCUGUGAGCUGUGGUGUAGGUCACAGACUUGGCUCAGAUCCUACAUUGCUGUGUCUGUGGCACAGCUGGCGACUACAGCUCCAAUUCAACCCCUAGCCUGGGAACUUCCAUAUGCCCUGGGUUCAGUCGCAAAAAAGCAAAAAACGAAAAGAAAAAAGAAAUAAGUAUUAUUAUAUUGGCCCAAGUCGAUGCAUUUCAAUGCUAGCAUUGCGCCACUUAUGCAUGAAAAAGACUUGAGUAAGAAGUGGAGAGGAGUAUUAUUUUAAAACAUCCUGAAAUGAAUUAAAUAUCAGAGUUCUGGGUACAUUUUCCAAAGCUAUUUUGGCCUACAAAUGAGCCUUCAUCUGCUUCUGGACUAAUUAAGGCAACUCAGUCUGAUGAAACUUUGAAAAAAAUUAAUAUAUAAUUGAGAAGAAUAUUUUUCUUAGUGACCUUUCCUAUCACUGCCUACACUGGUCAACGGCAUACAACACUUGGUACAUUUUACACCUAACUCAGAAGCCCAGGCCAAUAUGACAUUUAUCAGCAUGUAUUAUGUUUUUUAAUUCUUUCUCUAAUUACAGUAAAGGCAUUGCAAUGAGACAUCAACAGCUUUGCCACUUAAUGCUCCGAAGAUCUCAGAUCCUAUAAGAAGCCCUUUGCAAUAGGUUUUGAAGAUGGAAACGUGAUCCACUUAACAUUUCAAAGAUGAGUUUUCCCCCACACCUUUUAUACAUGUUAUCAAACAUAAUAUGAAUGAUAACAUUAGUAAGAGGAAUAAGAAAGGCUUUCUUUAAAAAUGAAAAAGAGGCCAAGUGUGGGUAUCGACUGGGAGUUUGAAGUUAGCAGAUGCAAACUAUUGUAUUUGGAGUGGAUAAGUAAUGAGAUCCUGCUGUAUAGAACCGGGAACUAUAUCUAGUCACUUGUGACGGAACAUGAUGGAGGAUAAUGUGAGAAAAAGAAUGUGUGUGUGUGUGUGUGUGAGAGAGAGAGAGAGAGAGAGAGAGACUGGGUCAUUUGCUGUACAGCAGAAAUUGACAGAACAUUGUAAAUCAGCCGCAGUAGAAACAAAUUUAAAUCUUUAAAAAAUGAGUAAGAAGAAAGUAAUCCAAUUCCACCAACACCGUCCUUAGCAACAUUCUCCAGCUUCUCUUCACAGGACUUGAUUUACUCAAAUCUAAUAUGAAUUUGUGCUGCUACCCCCUGCUUCCUAGUCCCUGCAUCCUACCCUCUGCAUCCUAACCUCCUCAUCCUACUCUGUACCAAGGUUCCUACUUCUUAAGCAGAUUUAGCAUCCCCUAUGGGGGCUCACUUUUCAUAAUCCAGGGUAAUUGGAUGAUUAAAAGACUUCUAAAAUAGUUCUUAAAAUGAGGAUUUCCUUAUUUUUAUUCAAGUUUCUCAGACUUGCCUUGUUUUUACAUGACUUUGAGAGUUUUGAAGAAUACGAAUUGGGGAUUCAGUAGAAUGACUCUCAGCUAAAGCUUGAUGUAUUUCUCAUGAUUAGACAAGGGUUAUAAAUGUGCAGAGAGGAGUUUCUGUCAUGGCUCAGCAGAAACAAAUCUAGUAAUAUCCAUGAGGACACAGGUUCUACCCCUGGCCUCGCUCAGCGCAUUAAGAAUUGCCAUGAGCUGUGGUAUAAGUCCCAGACAUGGCUUGGAUCUGGUGUUGCUGUAGCUGUGGUGUAGUCUGGCAGCUCCGAUUCAACCCCUAGCCUGGAAACCUCCAUAUGCCGCAGGUGUAGCCCUAAAAAGACUAAAUAAAUAAAUAAAUGAAAACGUGCAGAGAGAAUACCAAUGGGUGAGAUGUGCUUCUCAUUACACCAUAUUAGGGAUCCAUGAUGUUAACACGGCUUAUCACCAGUGACCCUGACCAUGAUCACUUAGUGAGGUUGUAUCAGCCAGGUUUCCACACGGCAAAGUCACUAUUUUUCAUUUUCCAUGUUCUAGUCUUUGGAAGCAAGUCACUAUAUCCACACCACUCUUCAGAGGAGGCAAAUUAAGCUCCCCCUCCUAAAAAUCAGAGUAUCAACAUAGAGUACUUAGAAUUCUUCCAUCAGAAAGAUUUAUCUUGCCUCCCAUUUAUUUAUCUGUUCUACCAUUCAUUGUUAUCAUUGUGGACUCUCAGAAAACCACUUUGCUACAAUCCAGUACAAUCGUUAUUUAUUUUGUUGCUAUUUAUAUUUUUAGCCUGCACAAUUUUUUGAGAAAUGGAGAUCUGGGAUUUUCUCAUCAGCUAUGCUAGAUGAAAAUAUUUCAUUUAUCUUACAGUUUUAUUUUCCCAGUGCUAGUGGUUGCCCCAUAGUUCUAGGAAUCUGAGAUCUGCUCUACAAAUGUAUGCCAUUUCCAGGGGCACCAAGCUGCAUAGCUCCAGAGAGUCCUGAUCAUAAAUAAAUUAAAAUUAAAAAAUAAAUACACACACACAUGUAAAUGAAAAUGAAGGAGAUCCUUUACCCAGUCCCAAAAAUCUGGGUGGUAGUUAUAAACUGAAAUCUUCACCACUAAACUUUGGCUGGCACUCCUUUCUUUUCUUUUCUAUCUUCUAUUCUUUUCCCUGAUACAAGGGCAAAAUAGCAGCAUCCAUGGCUAAGAGCUUAAGAGAUUUGUAGGACAUCAGAAAGUUAAUGCUACAUUGGGAAGUAAGACAGCAAGUGGGAAUGAGAUGAAAAAAGAAAGCAACCAUUUCCAUGUAUUGAUCACUCUAUGCCAGGCAUAGCAUCAAUAUAUUUUUUAAAAAAUAAUAAGUCUAUCAAUGCUCAAAAAUCCCUUCAGGAGACAAUACUAUCACCUGGAAAUUUCUCAGCAAAAUGAAAUAAUACUGAAGUCAUACACAGCAAAGUCAGUUCAUAGAAAGCCAAACCACCCUUCCUCCAAAGCCCUUUCUCUCUCUCUCUCUCUCUCUCUUUUUUUUUUUUUUUUUUUUUUUGGUCUUUUUGCCCUUUCUAGGGCUGCUCCCGCAGCACAUGGAGUUUCCUUAGUUGGGAAAAUAAAUAUGUGAAAUCAAAGGUUAGCUAAACAGAGAGGGGCUAGUUCUCUUUGAUUCAUUUGCAUGCUGGAAAGAGUUUAUAUACUAAUUUUCAUAAGAUUCCCCAAUGGCUUUCUGUGGUAGGGAAAAUAUAUUUAGACUAUUUGUAUAUGUGGCCACUUAGAUGAUAGAAAUCUACAGUUCAUUCAACAAAUUCUUACUCAGCACCUACUGCCUGAGUGGCUGGGAAUUCCAUAGUGAACACAGCACAUGUAAUUCCUAUUUUUCUGAAGCUAAUAUUCUUGUGUAUAAUACUGGCUGACAAAUAAGUAAAUAAACAAAAAAGGCAACUUCAGAUAUUAGAAAUGCUAAGAAGAAAAUGACUGAGUAAUACAAAAGUUGGAGGUUGGUGAAGUCAGGAAAAUGGUAGCAAGAUGGGGCUGUGCAAAGUCCUUUAGAGAGGGUAAUUACAAAAGUUAAGGCUAUGCUAAAUUUAGAGUUCACCAUAUAAACUAGCAGAAAAUCUGAGGGAAGGUAUUCUAUACAGAGACUUCAAAUGACAUAAAUAGGUUUAAUAUGUUCAAGAAACAAUACAGAAAGCCCACGUAAGUUGGAGCUACCUUUCCCUUACUGAUUUCUACUUUGAUUUCACUGUAGUUGAAGAACAUAUCCUGUGUGAUCUCAAUACUUGAGCUUUAGUGAGGCUUGUUUUAUAGCCCAGGAUAUGGUCUAUCUUGGCAUAUGAUUUUCAAGUAGUUUAAAAAAAUGAGUAUUCUACUUUUGUUGUGUAGAGUGGUUGAUGUACUGCUAAGUUGUUAUCGUUGAGGCUGAGGUGUUAAAAAUCUCCCAGCAUAAUUGUGAAUUUGUCUACUUCUUUCAUCUCUACCAGUUUUCACUUUACAUAGUUUGCAGCUGUUGUUUGGUGCAUAUACAUUUAGAAUUGCUAUAUCAACUUGGGAGAAUGAUGUUUUUAUCAUUACAAAGUGUCUCUCUCGAUCUCCGGUUAUUUUAUUUGCUCUGAAAUCUACUUUAUCUGAUAUUAAUACAGCCACCUUAGAGUUCCCUAGUGGCGCAAUGGAGUAAGUGUCCAACAUUGUCAGUGCAGCAACUCACUAUUGUGGUGAAGGUUUGAUCCCUGGGGCUUGAGAACUUCCACAUGCCACAGGUACAGCCAAAAAAAAAAAAAAAAAAAAAAAAAAAAAAAAAA